rnacentral:rRNA from 1 species
AUUGAACGCUGGCGGCAUGCCUUACACAUGCAAGUCGAACGGCAGCAUGAUCUAGCUUGCUAGAUUGAUAGCGAGUGGCGAACGGGUGAGUAAUACAUCGGAACGUGCCCUGUAGUGGGGGAUAACUAGUCGAAAGAUUAGCUAAUACCGCAUACGACCUGAGGGUGAAAGUGGGGGACCGCAAGGCCUCAUGCUAUAGGAGCGGCCGAUGUCUGAUUAGCUAGUUGGUGAGGUAAAGGCUCACCAAGGCGACGAUCAGUAGCUGGUCUGAGAGGACGAUCAGCCACACUGGGACUGAGACACGGCCCAGACUCCUACGGGAGGCAGCAGUGGGGAAUUUUGGACAAUGGGCGAAAGCCUGAUCCAGCAAUGCCGCGUGUGUGAAGAAGGCCUUCGGGUUGUAAAGCACUUUUGUCCGGAAAGAAAUGGCUCUGGUUAAUACCUGGGGUCGAUGACGGUACCGGAAGAAUAAGGACCGGCUAACUACGUG